rnacentral:rRNA from 1 species
AUUGAACGCUGGCGGCAGGCUUAACACAUGCAAGUCGAGCGGAGAUGAGGUGCUUGCACCUUAUCUUAGCGGCGGACGGGUGAGUAAUGCUUAGGAAUCUGCCUAUUAGUGGGGGACAACAUUCCGAAAGGAAUGCUAAUACCGCAUACGUCCUACGGGAGAAAGCAGGGGAUCUUCGGACCUUGCGCUAAUAGAUGAGCCUAAGUCGGAUUAGCUAGUUGGUGGGGUAAAGGCCUACCAAGGCGACGAUCUGUAGCGGGUCUGAGAGGAUGAUCCGCCACACUGGGACUGAGACACGGCCCAGACUCCUAUGGGAGGCAGCAGUGGGGAAUUUUGGACAAUGGGGGAAACCCUGAUCCAGCCAUGCCGCGUGUGUGAAGAAGGCCUUAUGGUUGUAAAGCACUUUAAGCGAGGAGGAGGCUACUGAGACUAAUACUCUUGGAUAGUGGACGUUACUCGCAGAAUAAGCACCGGCUAACUCUGUGCCAGCCGCCGCAGUAA